GGGACUGGAGCAGCUGCAACUAAGGGAAGUAAACAGUACAUUCAGCAUUUGCGUGCUGUCACCUUGCAAAGCUGAUGUGGUGAAUGUGUUAGUCAAGAGUUUACAGAUGCAGCAGACGCAGCCCCUCUAACCACCAAACGUCCACAGACCUUUAAAAAGACAUCUAAAGUUGGUUGGAUGAAAAGAAGGAAAAAAGGACGAAUGAUGAAGGUGGAGACCAGCCGCCAUGUUAUGGGUUUGAGUGAAAGGCAAUGGACCCCCACUGUGGAGUGCCCGCUCCCCUGCAUUAGACUGUAGAGUAUGUUAUCAUUUUCAAAUAAA